rnacentral:rRNA from 1 species
ACGGGUGAGUAACGCGUAGGAAUCUGCCUUGUAGAGGGGGACAACCCGGGGAAACUCGGGCUAAUACCGCAUAAUAAUCGAGAGAUGAAAGGGUGGGACCUUCGGGCCACUCGCUAUAAGAUGAGCCUGCGUUGGAUUAGCUAGUUGGUGGGGUAAAGGCCUACCAAGGCGACGAUCCAUAACUGGUCUGAGAGGAUGACCAGUCACACUGGGACUGAGACACGGCCCAGACUCCUACGGGAGGCAGCAGUGGGGAAUAUCGGACAAUGGGGGCAACCCUGAUCCAGCAAUGCCGCGUGUGUGAAGAAGGCCUGCGGGUUGUAAAGCACUUUUAGCGACGAGGAAGGGUGUAAGUCGAAUAGACUUAUAUUUUGACGUUAGUCGCAGAAAAAGCACCGGCUAACUCUGUGCCAGCAGCCGCGGUAAUACAGAGGGUGCAAGCGUUAAUCGGAAUGACUGGGCGUAGAGGGUGCGUAGGUGGCAUAAUAAGUUAGUUGUGAAAUCCCCGGGCUUAACCUGGGAACUGCAAUUGAUACUGUUAAGCUAGAGUUUAGGAGAGGAUAGUGGAAUUUCCGGUGUAGCGGUGAA